GAUGAACGCUGGCGGCAUGCCUAACACAUGCAAGUCGAACGGACAGACGAGGAGCUUGCUCCGCUCGCGUUAGCGACGGGCGGGUGAGUGACACGUGGAUGGCCACCCUAUAUGACUGGGGUAACUACGACAAACCGGAGCGAAUACCAGAUGAUAAAAUCAACCGCAGGAGGCACUAGUGACAGACGGUUUUGCUGUCACGUAUAUAUGUUUCCGAGCCGCAUAAGCUAGGUGGUAAGGUAACGGUUUACCAAGGCAACGAUGCGUAGCCGACCUGAGAGGGGGACCGGCCACACUGGAAGUGAGAGACGGUCCAGACUCGUACGGGAGGCAGCAGUAGGGAAUCUUGCGCAAUGGGAGAAAGCCUGACGGAGCAACGCCGCGUGAGUGAAGAAGGCAUUCGGAUGGUAAAACUCUGUUAUUAGGGAAGAACAAAUGUUUAAGUAACUAUGGACGUCAUGACGGUACCUAAUGAGAAAGCAACGGCUAACUACGUG
rnacentral:rRNA from 1 species